rnacentral:rRNA from 1 species
UACGAAGGGGGCUAGCGUUGCUCGGAAUCACUGGGCGUAAAGGGUGCGUAGGCGGCCGUGUAAGUCUGGCGUGAAAGCCCCGGGCUCAGCCCGGGAAGUGCGCUCGAAACUGCACGGCUCGAGUGCCGGAGGGGAGAGUGGAAUUCCUGGUGUAGCGGUGAAAUGCGUAGAUAUCAGGAGGAAUACCGGUGGCGAAAGCGACUCUCUGGACGGUAACUGACGCUGAGGCACGAAAGCGUGGGGAGCAAACAGG